rnacentral:rRNA from 1 species
UACAGAGGUCUCAAGCGUUUGUUCGGAUUCAUUGGGCGUAAAGGGUGCGUAGGUGGCGCCGUAAGUCAGGUGUGAAAUUUCGGAGCUUAACUCCGAAACUGCAUUUGAUACUGCGGUGCUUGAGGACUGGAGAGGAGACUGGAAUUCACGGUGUAGCAGUGAAAUGCGUAGAUAUCGUGAGGAAGACCAGUGGCGAAGGCGGGUCUCUGGACAGUUCCUGACACUGAGGCACGAAGGCCAGGGGGAGCAAAACGGGG